CCUACGGGUGGCAGCAGUGGGGAAUAUUGCGCAAUGGGGGCAACCCUGACGCAGCCAUGCCGCGUGAAUGAAGAAGGCCUUCGGGUUGUAAAGUUCUUUCGGUAGCGAGGAAGGUGGUUAGUUUAAUAGGCUAGCCAAUUGACGUUAACUACAGAAGAAGCACCGGCUAACUCCGUGCCAGCAGCCGCGGUAAUACGGAGGGUGCGAGCGUUAAUCGGAAUAACUGGGCGUAAAGGGCACGCAGGCGGACUUUUAAGUGAGGUGUGAAAGCCCCGGGCUUAACCUGGGAAUUGCAUUUCAGACUGGGAGUCUAGAGUACUUUAGGGAGGGGUAGAAUUCCACGUGUAGCGGUGAAAUGCGUAGAGAUGUGGAGGAAUACCGAAGGCGAAGGCAGCCCCUUGGGAAUGUACUGACGCUCAUGUGCGAAAGCGUGGGGAGCAAACAGGAUUAGAUACCCGUGUAGU
rnacentral:rRNA from 1 species